GCUGCGCAGCCAGAAGGAACUGGAGGAGCUGCUGCAGUCGCAGGAGAGCGCCAAGCUGCUGUACGAUAUCCUGCAUGUGGCCCAUUUGCCGGAGAAGGACGAGGUUACCGGCUCGACGGCGCUGCUGGCGGCUAGCAAGCAAUUUGGCGCCGGAUCGCACAAUCGCUUCAGGAUGGCGGCAGCCGCAUCGCGAAGGGGUCGCCGAUGAUGCUCUCCAGCAAGGAUGGACCUUAAAAGUAUUAUGUAUGCUCAGCUUACAUGCAUUACCGCCUCGCCUCUUCCCAUUGAUUAUGACAUAAUUAAUUACAAAUUUAUGUAAUAAUACUUUCCAGAAACGGGCGACAGAACAACCAGAACUCUCUCCGGCUCUGAAGAGUUGAGCACACAGACAGCGCACAAUUAUGGAAAUUUUUUUAAACGUUGCAAUUAAGUCGACUUGGGAAUGGGUUGCGGAUGCAGCUGCAGAUGAGGCAUUUCCUAAGCUUUCGAUUUUCCAUUUUCACUCCCGACUCUCGACUUCCGCCGCUUGGCCGCAACAAACGGUUCAAUCAAUGGACAAUAGGGAACCUGAUCCGAAAACCCCAAAAACAUCGCAGCUAGUUUUUUUUUCCCCACCCCCACCCACAUUGACAACGAUUUCCAGAAUGGAACGCAUCCCUGAUUUGCUGCUUUUGGCAUCUUUUUUUCUUGUUUUUGAUUUUCAGAUUUUUUUUAUGCUUCUCUGCUGCAUUUCAAUUUGCAUGUGCACCAAAUGCAUUUGAACUGAGCGUGAUUUGCGAAUAAAUAACUAUAUACCCGUAUACAUGCGGCUGUACAGUAGUUACUGGCUUAAAGGAACGCUAAACAAUGACUGGAUCGUGCCUUUUGCUGGGCAAGGCACUGCUGCUGCUUAUCAUAAAUGACAAAUCUAGAAGUGAAUGCGAAUGCUAAACGACCAACAACUAAAUGGGCCAAAAGACUCUGGAAAAUGGGAAAAUGCCUGGCGCUCCAAUUUUCCUGCAUUUGGUGUAAAUGUAAAUGUAAACGAUAUAAUCGCCAGUCUCCAUCUUCUUUAUUU
rnacentral:lncRNA from 1 species